GAUGAAGAACGUAGCGAAAUGCGAUAAGUAAUGUGAAUUGCAGAAUUCAGUGAAUCAUCGAAUCUUUGAACGCACAUUGCGCCCGCCAGUAUUCUGGCGGGCAUGCCUGUUCGAGCGUCAUUUCAACCAUCAAGCCCUGCUUGCGUUGGGGUCCUGCGGCUGCCCGCAGGCCCUGAAAACCAGUGGCGGGCUCGCUAGUCACACCGAGCGCAGUAAUACAUCUCGCUUUGGGCGUGCGGCGGGUUCUUGCCGUUAAACACCCCCUUUUUACCAAGGUUGACCUCGGAUCAGGUAGGAAUACCCGCUGAACUUAAGCGUAUCAAUAAGCGGAGGA
rnacentral:misc_RNA from 1 species